GCAGCGGCAAAAUCCGCUGCCGGGUUUAGAAGCCUGAAAAUAAGGCGCGAAAAGCGCCCAUUUCCGAUGCUGGCGCUUUUUCA
rnacentral:sRNA from 1 species